GUACAAGCCAAAUUAAGGUGAAACCGCGAAAGGCUCAUUAAAUCAGUUAUGGUUCCUUAGAUCGUACCCACAUUUACUUGGAUAACUGUGGUAAUUCUAGAGCUAAUACAUGCAAACAGAGCUCCGACCGGAGACGGAAGGAGCGCUUUUAUUAGAUCAAAACCAAUCGGUGGCGGGCUCGCUCGUCAUCGUACAUUUUGGUGACUCUGAAUAACUUUUUGCUGAUCGCACGGUCCAGCACCGGCGACGCAUCUUUCAAAUGUCUGCCUUAUCAACUGUCGAUGGUAGGUUCUGCGCCUACCAUGGUUGUAACGGGUAACGGGGAAUCAGGGUUCGAUUCCGGAGAGGGAGCCUGAGAAACGGCUACCACAUCCAAGGAAGGCAGCAGGCGCGCAAAUUACCCACUCCCGGCACGGGGAGGUAGUGACGAAAAAUAACGAUACGGGACUCAUCCGAGGCCCCGUAAUCGGAAUGAGUACACUCUAAACCCUUUAACGAGGAUCAAUUGGAGGGCAAGUCUGGUGCCAGCAGCCGCGGUAAUUCCAGCUCCAAUAGCGUAUAUUAAAGUUGUUGCGGUUAAAAAGCUCGUAGUCGAAUCUGUGUCCCGCGCCGCCGGUUCAUCGCUCGCGGUGUUCAACUGGCGUGCCGCGGGACGUCCUGCCGGUGGGCUUAGUCCGUCCGCGGGCGGCCCAACUUGAAAUCCCACCGCGGUGCUCUUGACUGAGUGUCGAGGUGGGCCGGCACGUUUACUUUGAACAAAUUAGAGUGCUUAAAGCAGGCUAAAACUUCGCCUGAAUACUGUGUGCAUGGAAUAAUGGAAUAGGACCUCGGUUCUAUUUUGUUGGUUUUCGGAACCCCGAGGUAAUGAUUAAUAGGAACGGAUGGGGGCAUUCGUAUUGCGACGUUAGAGGUGAAAUUCUUGGAUCGUCGCAAGACGGACAGAAGCGAAAGCAUUUGCCAAAAACGCUUUCAUUGAUCAAGAACGAAAGUUAGAGGUUCGAAGGCGAUCAGAUACCGCCCUAGUUCUAACCAUAAACGAUGCCAGCUAGCGAUCCGCCGACGUUCCUCCGAUGACUCGGCGGGCAGCU
rnacentral:rRNA from 1 species